rnacentral:rRNA from 1 species
CUUGGUCAUUUAGAGGAAGAAAAGUCGUAACAAGGUUUCCGUUGGUGAACCAGCGGAAGGAUCAUUACGAGAUCGUGCCCUUCGGGGUAGACCUCCCACCCUGUGUUAUUUACCUUUUUGCUUUGGCGGGCUCGCCCGCCAGAGAAUUAUUCACCCUGUGUUUAGUUUGUCCGAGUAAAUAUAUAAUAAGUUAAAACUUUCAACAACGGAUCUCUGGUUCUGGCAUCGAUGAAGAACGCAGCGAAAUGCGAUAAGUAAUGUGAAUGCAGAAUUCAGUGAAUCAUCGAAUCUUUGAACGCACAUUGCGCCCCUGGUAUUCCUGGGGGCAUGCCUGUCCGAGCGUCAUUUCAACCCUCAAGCACGCUUGGUCUUGGGCCAUGCCGGGAACGGCCGGCCUUAAAACUAGUGGCGUGCCGCCGGGCUCUACGCGUAGUAGUUAUUUCUCGCGUUUGGGUCUCGGGGACGCUGGCCAGCAACCCCCAAUUUUCUAUGGUUGACCUCGGAUCAGGAGGGAUACCCGCUGAACUUAAGCAUAUCAAUAAGCGGAGGAAAGGGCUU